AACGAACGCUGGCGGCAUGCCUAACACAUGCAAGUCGAACGAUACCUUCGGGUCUUGUGGCGCACGGUUACUUAACGCGUGGGAACCUGCCCUUAGGUUCGGAAUAACUCCCCGAAAGGUGUGCUCAUACCGUAUAAUGUCUUCGGACCAAAGAUUUAUCGCCUUUGGAUGGGCCCGCGUUGGAUUAGCUAGUUGGUAGGGUAAAGCCUACCAAGGCGACGAUCCAUAGCUGGUCUGAGAGGAUGAUCAGCCACAAUGGGACUGAGACACGGCCCAGACUCCGACGGGAGGCAGCAGUGGGGAAUAUUGGACAAUGGGCGAAAGCCUGAUCCAGCAAUGCCGGGGGAGAGAUGAAGGGCGUAGGGUUGUAAAGCUAUUUGACAAGGGAUGAUAAUGACAGUACCGGGAGAAUAAGCUCCGGCUAACUACGUG
rnacentral:rRNA from 1 species